rnacentral:rRNA from 1 species
CUACGGGCGGCACCAGUAGGGAAUAUUGCGCAAUGGGCGAAAGCCUGACGCAGCGACGCCGCGUGAGUGAUGAAGGUCCUCUGGAUUGUAAAGCUCUGUAAGGAGGGAAGAACCGCCUGGUGUAACGGCCAGGUCUGACGGUACCUCCAAAGUAAGCACCGGCUAAAUAAGUGCCAGCAGCCGCGGUAAUACUUAUGGUGCGAGCGUUGUCCGGAAUGACUGGGCGUAAAGGGUGCGUAGGCGGACUUUCAAGUCAGGUGUGAAAUCCCCGGGCUUAACCUGGGAACUGCGCUUGAAACUGGAAGUCUAGAGUAUGUGAGGGGUUAGCGGAAUUCCCGGAGUAGCGGUGAAAUGCGUAGAGAUCGGGAAGAACACCAAUGGCGAAGGCGGCUAACUGGCACAUGACUGACGCUGAGGCACGAAAGCGUAAAGAGCGAACAGGAUUAGAUACCCCAGUAGUC